rnacentral:rRNA from 1 species
AGAUUGAACGCUGGCGGCAUGCUUUACACAUGCAAGUCGAACGGUAACAGGCCGCAAGGUGCUGACGAGUGGUGAACGGGUGAGUAAUGCAUCGGAACGUGCCCAGUCGUGGGGGAUAACGCAGCGAAAGCUGUGCUAAUACCGCAUACGAUCUAUGGAUGAAAGCGGGGGACCGAAAGGCCUCGCGCGAUUGGAGCGGCCGAUGUCAGAUUAGCUAGUUGGUGGGUAAAGGCCCACCAAGGCGACGAUCUGUAGCUGGUCUGAGAGGACGACCAGCCACACUGGAACUGAGACACGGUCCAGACUCCUACGGGAGCAG